AAAUACAUGAUUCCCUANUACUGCGAGUGAAGAGGGACAAGCUCAAAUUUUAAAUCCAUCGGGUUUUACCUGAUCGAGUUGUAAUUUGAAGAGGCGUUUUCUGUGUUUCUNGAUCAGUCCAAGUCCUUUGGGAUAAGGCAUCAUGGAGGGUGAGAAUCCCGUCCGGUUGAUCAGAUUCGCUUUACGAUACGCUUUCUAAGAGUCAAGUUGUUUGGGAUUGCAGCUUAAAAUGGGAGGUAAAUUUCUCCUAAGGCUAAAUAACGGCGAGAGACCGAUAGCGAACAAGUACCGUGAGGGAAAGAUGAAAAGAACUUUGAAAAGAGAGUUAAAUAGUACGUGAAAUUGUUGAAAGGGAAACGAUUGAAGCCAGUCGUACCUAUGGGUAAUCAGCCUUUUGGGUGUGAUUUUGUGGAGCGUGAGGAGUUAAACGCCUUCAUGCCUGCAUAUUCGUGCACUUUGGGUGUACUUGCCCGUAUGGUUGGUUAACAUCAAUUUUGGUGGUCAUAAAAUGACUGGAGGAAUGUAGCUUCGAUCUUGUAUUGAAGUGUUAUAGCCUUCGGUAGAUGUGAUGAUCGAGAUUGAGGAUUGCAACGGAUACCCUUCGGGGCUACCUGUCUGAUCUCUGAUCGUUGCUCUGGUGCCGAAAGCUUGCUUACGGUUAUCAAAGUCGAUGGUCAAUAGGUUAGAACGGGUUAAAUUCGUUAAGGAUGUUGACGUA
rnacentral:rRNA from 1 species